CUGUAAUAACCUCUAGUAUUGUAGUUGUUUCUUGAGUCCUGCUGGUACUGGUUUGGGUUGUAGUUACUGUUCUCCCCCUUCAGGUCAUAGUAGUACUUCCCUUUUUCCAAGUACCUUGUGUCACUCAUGCCUUGCUUCUCAUCAUUGCUGUAGCUAUUGGCACCAUUGUAGUAGUAGUUGUUGUUCUGGUUCCCCAUGUUGGUGUAUCCACUUUCUUGAAGGCUUUUUUCACCGAAGUUUUGUUGCUGCUCCUGAUCAUAAGCAUUGUUGCUGUAGUAGUUGGUGUUUGUGUUGGUGGUUGUGUCAGUUGGAUAAUUGGUGUAGGUUUCUUGGUUUUGGGUUUGGGUCUUGUAUGGCUGGGAAUUAGUGGUAGUAGUGUAGGGUGCAUUAGCUAGUUUAGUGGUGGUGGGGAACUGGGUGGUUUCUUGACCAUAUAGACCAUAACCAUUUUGGUUGUCUGGGAUGAAGGCUGGAUCUUGUUCUUGCUUGCUCAACCCUUCUUCUUCUUCUUUGCCGGGGAGUGUUUUAUCUUGAGCGUUAUUGUUGCUGAUGGUGGUAGUGGAGGGGGUGGUGGUGGCGCCACUGACUUUGCUAAAGAACUGGCUCUCUCUGGCAUGAAUUUGCACAGAUAAAAUGGCUAGGAGGAAGAGAAAGGAAAUGAGUCUUGGAGAGGGAGCCAUGGCUAAAGAAAGGAUAGCGUUGCUGUGUAUAACUAGUCUAUAGCAAUGUGUGGAGGUGCACACUUUAUAUAGAAAGACCUUUCAAUCACUCCAGUUUUUUCUACUCUUUUAGGUGGAAAUUGGAGGGAAUUGGUGAUGAUGGUGGUCCCUGCUGGAGACCAAACUUUUAACAAAAGAACUCCUUUUUCCUCUUGUUUCUGUGAUUUAUAUCUUGAUAAUCAUACUUAUUUUUCUCUCUGUAAUUAAUUUCGUUAAUAUUUGAAUUUUGUUCCCUCUAAGAUCAGCUAGUUCCAGCAGUGACUCUAAAUAAAUCCCAUAAUUCAAA
rnacentral:lncRNA from 1 species